UACAGAGGUGGCAAGCGUUGUUCGGAAUUACUGGGCGUAAAGGGCGCGUAGGCGGCCAUCUAAGUCAGACGUGAAAUCCCCCGGCUUAACCUGGGAACUGCGUCUGAUACUGGACGGCUAGAGUAUGGGAGAGGGAUGUAGAAUUCCAGGUGUAGCGGUGAAAUGCGUAGAUAUCUGGAGGAAUACCGGUGGCGAAGGCGGCAUCCUGGACCGACAUUGACGCUGAUGAGCGAAAGCCAGGGGAGCAAACGGG
rnacentral:rRNA from 1 species